UGCAUGUACAACGUAAGGUCGGUUACAUUUAUAGAUUCUCUUUAAAAAAAUUUUUACGUAAAUUCAUCUCGCUGUGUGUCGAUUUGCGUUCACUCAAGUGAACACAUCCUUCCCUCCUUUUUUGCGUGAUUUGUUCAUCCGUCUGUGGUGCAAGGAAUGGCACGCUGUUAGACUGGCCAAGUGCUGAAUAUGACGUUGUUAGUGCAUAGAACAAACAUUCCAGUUGGCCAAUUUGCGCCAAAAAUGACUGCAUCUAGGAUGUAGUGUAUAAGCCUGAUGAAUAAUUGUGGUUGGUGGAAGCCGCCUUUCAACGCAGACUAUUCGGAUCGAUAAACUUGUUACCCGACACUAGGCAAAGUUCGACGUGGCGGACAAGAAUAUGGCAGUGUGCUUCGAGUGGGGGAGAAGGAAAAAAAAAAAAAAGAGGGAAAGUUUAAGGAAAAAAAAUAAAUCAAGUUGCCAACACUAACGUUGUCACGCUCAAAGAUUGUCCACAUCCAGACAAAAGAUGAGUUUAUGAUUUAAUUAGAAGAAGAAAGAAAAAAAAAGAAGUUCACCACGCAAUCAGUUCAUAUCUUAAAGAUUCACAAGCCUCGCCUUCCGAGUCGAUUAAACGUCACACGCCACCCUUUACGCCAGCCAACGUUAUCGACCAAGCGGGGCUCCUCCUUUGCUCUACAAACGCUCCCUUUUUCCCCCCGUUCCUGCUACACGAUUAUACUUCAUAGAUGACACAAACAGCCGUAGCUCACAGAAUUUUUAUUUUCUUUAUGUUCGUGUUUGUUUGUAACUAUUCCGAAUGUCUGCCUAACUUUUUUUCUUAUAUCUGAUUUCAUGUCCGCUUGGCGUGAUGUGACUUUCCCUACAUUUGCAUCCAGACGGAGGGGGGCCCCGCGCGCGCGUUCAGAUAACACACCCCACCCGAAAUUAUUCCGCUUAACGACAAGUAGCAAGACGAGUAAACCCUUCUACCCUCCUGGAUUGAAUGCUACUAUACACCACGUUGAUGGGCAGCAAAUAAAAAUCGGGAUGCCUCCCAAAGACGAGAGAAAUCUUUGGAUUAUGUGCCAAAUAACAAGCAGAAGAGUUAUAGGAAAAGCAAAAAACAAAAACAGGAGCUCUGAUGGAUGAGCAAGAAAUAUCGAUCAAACAUCGUUUUGGGGUGUAAAGCAGAAGCCAGCGUUUCCAUGGGCGACCAGUCAAUAACAAAAGCCUUUUGCUGACGACGAUCUGUUUACAAGCCAUCUGCACUUGGACGGAAGCCUCCGACGGGUCGGAAGAGUUUGCUCCUUGGAGGAAAUUCCGUCUGAAGAUGAGAGAUUUGAUCGUGAAAAUAAAUACAGAUGCCGUAGGAGUAGUCGGUGGUGUGACUACUGCUAAUCAACAGCUGACGACCAACAGGAACAACAGCAGCCGCUUGAACGUGGAUGAUCCAGCUGUCUCGAGUCGUGCACUAUCUUUGACAGUCGGCUCACUAGGGCAAGAUGAUGGAGACAGCACGGACGACGGAAGUGACAGCGGAACAGCAGGCACGCCAACCAGUCAAUCCGCAGGCUAUUGGCCUGAUUUGGAAGUGCUGGAUCCUGAUCACCCCAUUUUGGAGCGAUUCCAGGCCAAUUUGACGCAUUUGCUGGACGAAGAGGAUCAACAGCUGACAUUGAAAAUUCUCGAAGCGGAAGAAAAGCGCAAGUGCAUACUGAGGGAGAAGAAGAAGACAUUGGCCGGGUUGGAUGAAAUGAAAAGAUUGAACGAACGCAGCCGAUUGACGUUGCGUAAAGAGAAAGAAGCUCUCGAAACGGAAAAAGCCAAACGACUUCAGGUGGAAUGUGACCUCCUCCCUGAGAAGAAACAACGAUUUGAAUUGCUCCAGCGGGACAUGCGAGACGCCCAAUCCACUGACAAUCUCCUGGAAAAAGAAUUGGAAAUUGGACGGAAGAAAAUAGCCGCAAUCCGGCAGCGGCUGGAAGAGCAACAACAACAACUAGCUCAAGCCAGAGGACAACUCGAUCAAGGGCAUCGUGAAAGGGAUUCCAACCAAGCUCGUAAACUUCUCCAGGAUGUGGUGAUCAAUCAACUUUUGUCGGAUGUCGAAGCAGCUGAAUGGAAGCGUAGCCAAAUGGAAAACACCUUACUGGACGAGGAACAGUUGACGGCCGGAUUGCGGGACGCGAUACGUGGAGCGCAUGCUGAAAUUGCCGCAAUCAACACGGAAAAAAUCCGACUCAAUCAGAGCUGGCAGUCCAGCUUGCUGGCCUUACAAAAGAAUAACGAGGCCCUAGCGGCUGUCCACCAAUCCAUCAGGAACGAAGAAGCUCGAAGGGAGGAGAUUAAUCGAUGCUGGACGAUUGGCGAGAAAGAAACGACUCAAUUGGCUUCUAAACGGACCAAUAUUCAAUUCGAAUUAGGCCGGCUGGAACGAAAGAUAACUAAUCUAGAGACGCAGUGCCAGUUGCGAGAGGCGCAAAAAAGCUCAGACGACGAACGCAACCGUCGUCUCGAGUCCAUCAUCCGAUCUCGGGAGGAAGAGCUUCAGACGCUGAUAAGGGAGGCGGAGUUGCUGGCCAAGAGUGAGAGCGAUGCCCUGGAUCGUCUGCAGGGGCAGCGGUGCAAAAACAAGACUCUAGAGGCGGCCAUACUCGAUCAAGUCUAUCGCAGUGUGGCCUGCGAUCAGGAGGCGCAAGCCAUUUAUCGCCACAUCCGCCAAAUGGAAGAAAACUCAACUGCACUGGAUUUUGAGAUAGCCAAAGCUGAAAGUCGUAAUGGAAAGGCGUUGCUGGAGCGCGAUAAUCUGGAAAAAGAAUUGCAAGAAAAUAGGAAAGAAUUGGCAGAGAAAGAAGCUCAAGUCGCUUUAAAAGACGGGCAAAUCAAGCAACUCGAGAUGGAACUGGGCGAGCAGCAGAAAUUGUUGGAGAGGAAAGAAAUGCAUUGGGUUCGGCAAAAAGCGAUGCUCGACGAGCUUCUGGCCACCCUCGAAGAGAACCAAGCCCGCACCGAGGAGGAGAGAGUAUUGAGAGUGUUACAGGAACAGCUGGAUCAGAUCCGCCGGGCCACCGAUAGUUUCCAGCGUCAAUGGUCAGAGGCAGAGCAGCAAUUGCUCCAAGUGGCCAUGACACGAGAUCUCCAGGCCGUCGAAGAGGGGAAACUUCGCGAUGAGAUCAGCGUGCGCGAAGAAAAGAAGAAGCGGCUUCUGCGUGAAGUAGCCGGAUUGAAGCACAGCCAAUUGCAGUGUAAAAGAUCCAUCCACGGUUGGCGCGAGUACUUGCAGCAACUGGAUGCCCGACUGGCCCAGCAGACGGCCAACAAAGAGAGCCUAGAACGUCAUAAUCAGCACUUUCAACGCCAGUGGCAGAUCCACCUCGAGGAGCCAGAACGCAAGGUUCAUCGAGUUCGGGAGGAGAUUGUCCAACUUCGUUCACAAAAAUCCAACCUCGAAAUCAACUUAUGCGACCUGAAUAAAGUGAUGUUAUUGUGGACGGGCAAACUGGCAGACAUUCGCGAGGCACAGAGUUACUACCAAGCUGAACGCUCAGAUGCUGGAUCGCUGGCCCUACUCGAAGCGGAGAAGCAUCGACUUCAGGUACAAGAAGUCCAGCUGAGGAAGGAUCAGGAACUGCUUAACCAUCAACUACAGAAAGCCGUUCUCGGUCGUUCCGGGCUGAAUACCAAAGCGGAUAUCAAGACCGGAGUUGCUCAUAAGACGAGGAUCGUCAAGGAUCCAGUAGACUCAAACGCCUGGUACAAGAUCCUCUCUAAAGAAAUCACCAAGCGCCGCAAGGUUCGACAUCCAGGAGCUUGUCAAGCUGAAGCAAUCGAUCUCGGAGAGGAAAAUAGUCAACGCGGAGCUGACGGCGCAAUGCGAUUCUUUACGAGAUUCUCUCGAGAUGGACCGUAAUCGACUCGAGCAGCUCGAUCACAACAUUGCUGAAGCCGUAGUCACUAAGAGACGGGGCAUUUCGACGCUGGUAGGUCAUCAGAAAUGGUGGCGCUUCUACGACCAACUGAAAUAUGGAACAUAUCGGCGGAAGUACGGAGCUGAUGCUCUGGCCGAGGCAGAGUCUCGUGCGAGAAAAAAAAUAAUUAAACUACUGA
rnacentral:misc_RNA from 1 species